UCUGUUUAGUGCCUGAGGAGUUUACACUUGUUACUGGGCUGGUGAAAUGGACCCCAGGGCAAAGACAAGGAUACAGAGAACUAUGAAGCUCUGAUCCCCAGAGCCCUGGAGAUCACUCCUUAUACUACACUUCAUCUGCAACAGAAGUGUGAACCUACCAUCUCUGCACCUCAGCUCGGGACUCUGCCUGGGGAAUCCUUGGUGUGGUGCCUGCAUCCAGAUCCUGCUUGCUUUGCUCUGCUCAGGCCGUACAAAGGGGUCAGAACAGGGGCAGAAAAUCUGCCCUGUCACUCAGUUUCUGGGAUGCAGCAGAAGCUGGGCUCGCCUC